rnacentral:rRNA from 1 species
GCAAGUCGAGCGGCAGCGAUGAAGAACCUUGCUCUUUGGGUGGCGAGUGGCGGACGGGUGAGGAAUACGUCUGACUCGACUUUUUCAUGGGGGAUAACCUAGGGAAACUUACCCUAAUACCGCAAACAAUCUACAGGUGAAAGCACGAAACCUUCGGGCCUUGCGCGAUUGCAUGAGCCGAUGUACGAUUAUCUCGUUGGCGGGGUAAAGGCCCACCAGGGCGACGAUCCGUAGCUGGUCUGAGAAGAUGAUCAGCCGAACUGGAACUGAGACACGGUCCCAACUCCCACAGGCCGCAGCGAUGGGGAAUAUUGGACAAUGGGCCCAAGCCUGAUCCUCCCAUACAGCGUGGGUGAAUAAGGCCUUCGGGUUUUCAAGCCCUUUUGUUGUGAAAUAAAUCCAGAUGGCUUGUUCCCUGUUGGGAUGACCGUACCCAAAGAAUCUGCACCGGCUACCUUCGUGCCAUCAGCCGCGGUAAUCCCAAGGGUGCAAGCGUUACUCGCAAUUACUGGACGUAAAGCGUGCGUAGGUGGUCGUUGAAGUCUCUUGUGAAAGCCCUGGGCUCCCCCUGGGAACUGCAGUGGAUACUGUGCAACUAGGGUG